UGGGGAAUAUUGCACAAUGGAGGAAACUCUGAUGCAGCAACGCCGCGUGGAGGAUGACACAUUUCGGUGCGUAAACUCCUUUUAUAUAGGAAGAUAAUGACGGUACUAUAUGAAUAAGCACCGGCUAACUCCGUGCCAGCAGCCGCGGUAAUACGGAGGGUGCAAGCGUUACUCGGAAUCACUGGGCGUAAAGAGCGUGUAGGCGGAUAGUUAAGUUUGAAGUGAAAUCCUAUGGCUCAACCAUAGAACUGCUUUGAAAACUGAUUAUCUAGAAUAUGGGAGAGGUAGAUGGAAUUUCUGGUGUAGGGGUAAAAUCCGUAGAGAUCAGAAGGAAUACCGAUUGCGAAGGC
rnacentral:rRNA from 1 species